AAAUACAAGUGAGAAGGAGAGGGGAGAGGGAGGGGAGAGAAAAAAGAAAGAAAAAUUUGAAAUCUGGUCGCCUUCCUAGUUUCUUGCCUCAUUACACUGUCGGGGGCAGGAAGUAACCCUCCGGGAGGGACCCGGUGACACCGAGUUCGUCCCGCGCAGAAACAUUUCAGUGUGAAUUAAAUAAGCUGAAAACAAGCCCAGAGCUCAAUCUUACUUCUACUAGCAACUACGGCUCUCGGGGAGGCUGCUCAGACCGCCGAGUCCACAGCAGCUACAACCGUGGUGUUCUUGAUUUUAUUCUGCAGAGUGAGCUCUCCACGUUUGCUUUCUGGAGGACCCAGGUGACCGCUCACCUCCCCUUCCUCCUGGAGCCCUGAAGUCGGAGGCCCUGAGCCAUGGACGGUAUCUGAGGAUCGGUUUAGCGUAUCUGGCCGGAGAAAUUGGCAACAUUUGCUACGAAUAAAACCCAAGCGUUUCCAGCAGCCAUUUUGAAUUAAGUUUCCCACCCGACAAGCCCUCGUCCCCUCCACUGCACAUCCAGGAUCCGGUGGAGGAGAAAGGCGCCGGGCGGAGAGUUGGGGAGGGCUGGUUCCUGCGGGUUCCUCCUAGGCGGCCGCGCGAAGCCCAGGCUCGGGGGAUCUCGGUGGCAGGCGCUCAGCUAACUUGGGGAAAGGACGUCCAUGGCCGUGGGGCCGACUGUCAACGGGCUGCACCUAGGGAUCCCAACCCCAAGGCCCUCGGAGAGCCGGGAGGCUCCUCCUCAGCUCCACGCACAUUCCCCUCCCUUCGCUGAUAGCCCCCACCGCCCCCCAAAGAAAGUUCCUUCAAAUGUUCCUGCAGUAGAGCCUUUCAUUUUGUCUCUGCGAAGUGGCAAAGCAGCUAGUAUUGCGAGGGGCCUAGAUGUCGCUUGUCUCAGCCCAUAAAAAAGAAAAAAAAAAAAAAAAGAAGAAGAAGAAGAAAGAAAGAAAAGCUUCUUCUAAUGCCCAAGGAGGUAUCUCAAGUCUUUUAUUAGCUCUCACAGCUCAGCUGGGAAUUUAACAGUUUGGGGUCCUUUACAAAGCUUCCCCAAAUGUUCUGUCCCAGAGCCUAAACCACUUGUAGUUAACUCUGCGGACAGAACGGUGGGAAUUAAACAAGCCCAUCGCACAAGGGAUCAGAAAAUAAAAUAAAAAGAUUAUAUAUAUUUUUUUUUCCAGCGAGGGAGGGUCAGUGUGUCCUGAUUUUUUAAAAAUAAAUAAAUAGAAAUAAAAGUUUCUGCAAAGUAAAAAGAGGUUCCCAAAUUCAUCGGCACACAGUAGGCACAAGUGAGUUUCAAAGGAUUCUACUAGCCCAGGGUCUAAUCGAAUGGCGGAGGAGAAAGCAGUAUAAACCGCAGCCAGAAAACAACCUCCGAGGAAGAGCACCCCGAAUUUACUUAUUUCUAAAUCCUGCAGGUUUCGCCUUUGAGCACAAAGUGCUAAAACAUCUAGAAGUUUCUUAAUGUGUGUAACAAUUCAGAGCAAGCUCCUCUCCUUGACUUCAGUGGUCAAACUCCCUAAAUGCAAAACAUGUUCCCCCUUGCUUGACCUGCAACUGUCCUGCUUUGGUUUUAUUGUGCAGUGGCAGAGCCAGCAUAAGGCUGCUGAGUAAACUCAGCAAGUCAGAACAAUCAGUGGCUUAAAAGAGAUUUUCCCUUAAACUAAAAGUUUCGUUACAACACAAAGGCGCCUGCAUUUAGAAACCCCUAACGCUCUCGGGCGAAAUCGAGCGAGGGAGGACUCCAGCCCGCUGAAGGAGUCUGAGAGGGGACAAGGGCCCUUUAGCCAGCUUCUUCUCAUCUGGGACCCCCUUGCGGGCACUGCCAUGGUGGAGCAGGGCACUGGAUGUGCACAGAGUGUGUAUGGGGAUGUAGGGCUUCAGGGAUGGCAGGCCACCUCCCCAAAUUAUCCAUGAAAUGUGAAUGAAAAGUCACCAAAGAUGUACCUCCAAUCCAGAGAACUCUGACUUUCCUCUUACCAAGGGCACAGAGAAAGAGGGAAGCGUUGAGUCUCAACUACUUAACCUGCUGCCCAUUGUACCUAC
rnacentral:lncRNA from 1 species